AUGUUCAUGUACGGCGGGGAAGAUUUAGGCGGCCACCUAGGCGCUCUAGGCGGUCUGGGCAGUUCUAAGCGACUGUCUAGUUGGCUCUGCAACUCUUACGUAGGAUCUGCAACGCCCAAUCUCAAAGUGGAGCCUCGAUUGAAAUUCUGCAGCUCACCAUUCGAAGAAGAAGAAGAAACGGAAAAACUCAAAUGGGAAGAGUGUUCCGCUUUCCAACAGAAAUAUGGAAUAGAGAAAGAAAGAGAGGUUGGAGAAGAGAGAGAAGAAGAUGAGAAAAUAGAAAGAGCGGGAGAGGCCCUGAGUCGAUCAAAAAGGCCAUAUAAAUGGGCCAUGCACGACAACUGGGAACCCCUGAAACAAUACUAUAAGAGAAACUGGGAAGAGGUUUUCAUUCCAUUGACAACGAACGACGACACUGUACUUCACGUCGUAGCCUAUGCCGGGCGGAGCGACGUGCUCGAGUUCUUGAUUUCACUUGUGACAACUGCGACCAAUGACCCUAGAAAGUUACGGCAUGCCUUGGUGCUGGAGAAUGGCCACGGGAACACCAUCCUCCAUGAGGUGGUGGCGUCGGGAAACCUAAAAGCGGCAAUGCUGUUGGUAAGCCACGAUAACAGCGUUAGGAGUGAGCUAAUUGCUAGACAGGAUGUUGAUCAAACCAAUGAGUACGAGCGGGAUGUUAUUGAUGCUAGGUCUAGAAGUAUUGUGGAGAUUGAGAACAAGCUAGGAGAAACGCCCAUCUACAGGGCAGCUUCUUACGGUCACACAAAAUUGAUCGACUUUUUCCACAAACAAUAUGUGAAUACAGAGCGCCACUUCACCAGAUCUGUUGAUCGCAUGUCCGUUCUUCAUAUCGCUGUCAUUAACCAACAUUUUGACACUGCUGUUUGGCUACUGAAAAAGUACCCAUUUCUUGCAAAAACAAGGGAAGACGAUGGUUUCACAAGCCUUCAAUUGCUAGCCCAGAUGCCAUCUGCCUUCCAAGUCUACAAUCGCGAAAGCUUAUGGAAGAUGCUUAUUCAUAAAUGCCUCUCUGAAGAUGAUAGUGUUGAUGGGGACCGCACCAAAUCAAAACGGUGAUAUAGAGAGCAGAUGGAUUCCACAGCUUCCCACAUCUUGCUUGUCGAAGAAGCUCACAAGAUGGCCUCGAGUCUUUUCGAUCUUGAAGCAAAUAAAAAAUGAAAAAACACUGUCGGAGCUCACUCAGCUGCUCGUGGAGAAAGACUAUUCGUGGGUAGAAAGUAAGAAACCAAAGAAAGACAAGACAAUUUCCUUGGUGUCCUCACAGAAAGAUAUUGCUGCUAUUUGUGGUGAUGGAAGAGAAACAAAAAAAUCUACUAUUUAUAACUACACCCCACUGCUUAUAGCAACUAGCACCGGAAUAUUACCUCUUGUGAAAAGGAUAUAUGAGGUACAUCCUCUGGCGAUUGAGGCGCACGAUAUCGGCAGUCAACAAAACAUUUUGCAUAUGUCGAUUAAGCAUCGUCAGUUGCAGAUAUUUAGGCUUGUGAAGAGAAGCAGAGCGAUAACUUGGAGGUUAACUUCGAGGAUUGACAGUGAUGGAAAUACCAUAUUGCAUCGAGCUGCAGAUAUGGCAAAUUACUCUCCUGACACUCAACGUGUAAGUGGUCCUGCGUUGCAAUUGCAAGAAGAAUUACGUUGGAUGGUGCGCGUGGGAAAGAUAACGCCACCUCAUUAUAGCAUGCACCGCAACAACAAGGGUGUGACAGCAGAGGAGCUCUUCAAUAGUGAGCAUGAAAACCUAGUUCAUUCGGCACAAACAUGGAUAAAGGACACUGCUCAGUCAUGCUCGACCGUGGCAGCUCUAGUGGCCACUGUGGUCUUUGCAGCCGCCUACACUGCUCCCGGGGGUUACAAUUCAGGCGGUGUUCCUGUUCUCCGACAUUCUCCUUUGUUCAGUACCUUUAUCAUCACAGGCGUUGUCUCGCUCAUCAGCUCAUUGUCUUCUCUCGUCACGUUUCUCUCGAUCUUGACAUCUCCAUUUGAGUACAAAAACUUCCAUCAUUCUCUUCCGCUCAGGCUGCAUUUAGGAUUUGCCUUUCUUUUCUUCUCGCUAGUGACGGCCAUGCUUGCGUUCACUGCUACAGUUGUGCUCUUGAUUCAUCUCAACGAGAAAUUGACAUGGUCUCAAGUUUACGUUGCUGCGUUUCUUCCUGUGUCUGUAUUUGGUAUGCAGCUUCCCUUGUAUGCGGGAUUUUCUCAUGCUUUGAUAUUUCUAUUUAAGAAAGUUAAGAAGUUUAUAGUAAAGGAAACCCUCAAUCAGUAAGGGUUUUAUUGAAUGUUGAUUUGUGUGUUGUAAGUCCAAACCAAAAUAAAUACCAAUAAUUACAAAUUGGUCAGAUAGUGGACGAUUGACUUUACAGCUUUUUUUUAAAUUAAUUUUUAGCUAGCAUGUUUUUCACCAUUUACAUAUGUAGCAGAUAUCUUUGAUUUGGGAUCUCUAUUCAACAACUAGAAUUGUAAUCUAUAUUCAAUAAUCAGAGUGUGUUUUUUUUU